UGUCAAUAAACCCAUCAGACAACAGGGCUCAGACGACAGAAUGGUUUCUUUCUGUUGUCUGAAUAACUUUAACGACAGAAUGAAAAAAUUCUGUUGUCUGAAUAUAGUGAUAUACCAUGGUAAAUUGAUUUUGAGAACAAUGUUUUGUUUCAGACAACAGUUUUCUGUCGUGUGUGUAAUGGAGAGUUGCUUAGUUUUGAAAGUUUGUUUUUUUUUUUUUUUGGAAAUGACUGUUUGGUUUUUUGGUAACACAUAAAUGAAAUUAGAUCAAACAACUUAAUCAAAUCUGGCCCGAUGGAUUUCUCAAACACUGAAAACGCCCCUCUUUCAAACUUCUCUCUUCUUCACAGCACAUCUCUCAAACCAAAACCACUGAACUGAAAAAUCCAGCGCCAAAUCCAACAUCAAUCUCUUCUAUUCGUUCACUAUACUGCUGGCGAAGACGGAGGCUAGGUGGAAGACGGAGGUACAGUCCAACGACUUCGUCUUCAUUCUCUCAAGUCUGAUUGUCUCAACUAACUUCUGAAAACCCAAACCUCCUCAAAACCUUCAACCCAGUCUCUGCGACGGUCGACGGCAGCGGCACGACGACCUCGUCUCGUUCUCGAGACAUCACUCUGUCAGUCUCGCUUUUGGUGGCGGAGCAGAAGAAAGAAAAGAAAAAAA